UCUACGGAAAUGAGCUGUCUCUUUUUGGUUAUAUUGAAGUUUCUUUAAGGGUGCAAAGUCCCUUGAUUAGAAAAAAGACGAGAAGACCCUUAGAGUUUUUAUUAAAGAUAAGAAUUUAUUCAAGUUUUUGCUGGGGCGGCAAAGAGACAAGUGAUUAAACUCUCUUUUUAUUGUUUUUAGAAGACGAAAAUGUUAAGAAUCAUUAAACUACCUUAGGGAUAACAGCAUAAUUAAAUUUUAGUUUGUGACCUCGAUGUUGGACUAGGAAGGCUUUUGACCAGCAGUCAAAAAGUGUGGUUCUGUUCGAACUAG
rnacentral:rRNA from 1 species